AACGAACGCUGGCGGCAGGCUUAACACAUGCAAGUCGAGCGCCCCGCAAGGGGAGCGGCAGACGGGUGAGUAACGCGUGGGAACGUACCUUUUGGUUCGGAACAACUCCGGGAAACUGGAGCUAAUACCGGAUAAGCCCUAACGGGGAAAGAUUUAUCGCAGAAAGAUCGGCCCGCGUCUGAUUAGCUAGUUGGUGAGGUAACGGCUCACCAAGGCGACGAUCAGUAGCUGGUCUGAGAGGAUGAUCAGCCACACUGGGACUGAGACACGGCCCAGACUCCUACGGGAAGCAGCAGUGGGGAAUAUUGGACAAUGGGCGCAAGCCUGAUCCAGCCAUGCCGCGUGAGUGAUGAAGGCCUUAGGGUUGUAAAGCUCUUUUGUCCGGGAAGAUAAUGACUGUACCGGAAGAAUAAGCCCCGGCUAACUUCGUG
rnacentral:rRNA from 1 species